CAAUAGCGUAUAUUAAAGUUGUUGCGGUUAAAAAGCUCGUAGUUGGAUUUCUGUUGAGAACGGCCGGUCCGCACUAUGUGCGUGUAUCUGGUUCGGUCUUGGCAUCCUCUUGGAGAACGUAACUGCGCUUGAUUGCGUGGUGCGGUAUUCAAGACUUUACUUUGAGGAAAUUAGAGUGUUCACGGCAGGCUAUCGCCCGAAUACAUUAGCAUGGAAUAAUACUAUAGGAUUUCGCACCUAUUUUGUUGGUUUCUAGGCGUGAAAUAAUGAUUAAUAGGGACAAUUGGGGGCAUUCGUAUCAACACGUCAGAGGUGGAAUUCUUGGAUUGUGUUGCGACGAACUACUGCGAAAGCAUUUGCCAAGGAUGUUUUUCAUUGAUCAAGAACGAAAGUAAGGGGAUCGAAGACGAUUAGAU
rnacentral:rRNA from 1 species